rnacentral:rRNA from 1 species
AGAGCGAACGCUGGCGGCGUGCCUAACACAUGCAAGUCGAACGUGAACGGGGCAACCCUAGUAAAGUGGCGUACGGGUGAGUAACACGUAGGUAAUCUACCUUACAGUUUGGAAUAACCUGCCGAAAGGCGGGCUAAUACUGGAUAGAGCGACGGAAACCGUAACGGUUUUUUCGGGAAAGGGAGCUCGAUAAGAGCCUUCGCUGUAAGAUGAGCCUGCGUCUGAUUAGCUAGUUGGUGAGGUAAUGGCUCACCAAGGCGAUGAUCAGUAGCUGGUCUGAGAGGAUGAUCAGCCACACUGGAACUGAAACACGGUCCAGACUCCUACGGGAGCAGCAGUGGGGAAUCUUGCGCAAUGGACGAAAGUCUGACGCAGCCACGCCGCGUGAGUGAAG